CAAUCCGUUCAUCUAUUUCAAAUUCGACCGUGAGUUUCGAAAACACUUUUUGUCUUUCCGUUGUAAGAGAUGAUUGUAAAAAGACGUCUUGCGCGUUGUGAAAACAUGUAAAUAUAAAACAAGUAGGAUUGUGUACUGUGUAUAUAUAUGUUUCUCAAUUUGAUGGCUAAUUUUUUUAGUCUCUAUCGAACCAAUUGAUUUUGUUUUCUCAAACGAAAAAUAUGCACAGCAUGCAAAAUGAGAUUGCAAUUGGAUUAUUCAAUCGGAUUAAUCGAAUAAUUAGUAUAUGCUCUAAGCAUCUAGGAUCCCUUCCGGAUAAAAAAACAAUAUAGGCUUCCGGGUUAUCAAGUUACGUAGCCUGGAACACUCCUCUCAAUGUUUGUGACAUACACGGGUUUUCACUCCGAGGAAACCCGGCCGGCAGUAAGUAGGAAUAUUUCCGGUGUACCUAACUUUAUCAUUAUACUGUGGACAGUUAUUUUCAUUGUUACUUUUGGAAAGAUUAAUAAAUGGUUAUAUUUU
rnacentral:misc_RNA from 1 species